GGCUCGCACAGGGAUUUUGAGAAUUCCUAAGAAAUAGGUUUUAUGUGUGCUAUUCUAACUCUUUUGUCCUCCCCACCUUUUUUUUUUUUCCUUUUCCUUUUUUUGUUUUUUAUUUUUUAUUUUUUUGCUAUAGAAAAUUCAGAGUCAAACUCACGGUCCAGCUAUAAUAGCUGUGUAACCUAAAGAUACGAACAGUAAAAUGUUCUUUCUCUUCCACUUGGGACACUUAUUCUAAUUUGCAUUUCCCUCUGUAGAGAUUAGGGAGCAAAGGUAAGACUUCCUAGGGUUUGCAGUCUACCUC
rnacentral:lncRNA from 10 species